GGACACUAGUUCAGUGGGAGAGCAUCUUCUUUGCAUGCAGAAGGUCCCAGGUUUGAUCCCAGACAUCUCUA